rnacentral:rRNA from 1 species
AGAGUUUGAUCCUGGCUCAGGAUGAACGCUGGCGGCGUGCCUAAUACAUGCAAGUCGAGCGAACGGACGAGAAGCUUGCUUCUCUGAUGUUAGCGGCGGACGGGUGAGUAACACGUGGAUAACCUACCUAUAAGACUGGGAUAACUUCGGGAAACCGGAGCUAAUACCGGAUAAUAUUUUGAACCGCAUGGUUCAAAAGUGAAAGACGGUCUUGCUGUCACUUAUAGAUGGAUCCGCGCUGCAUUAGCUAGUUGGUAAGGUAACGGCUUACCAAGGCAACGAUGCAUAGCCGACCUGAGAGGGUGAUCGGCCACACUGGAACUGAGACACGGUCCAGACUCCUACGGGAGGCAGCAGUAGGGAAUCUUCCGCAAUGGGCGAAAGCCUGACGGAGCAACGCCGCGUGAGUGAUGAAGGUCUUCGGAUCGUAAAACUCUGUUAUUAGGGAAGAACAUAUGUGUAAGUAACUGUGCACAUCUUGACGGUACCUAAUCAGAAAGCCACGGCUAACUACGUGCCAGCAGCCGCGGUAAUACGUAGGUGGCAAGCGUUAUCCGGAAUUAUUGGGCGUAAAGCGCGCGUAGGCGGUUUUUUAAGUCUGAUGUGAAAGCCCACGGCUCAACCGUGGAGGGUCAUUGGAAACUGGAAAACUUGAGUGCAGAAGAGGAAAGUGGAAUUCCAUGUGUAGCGGUGAAAUGCGCAGAGAUAUGGAGGAACACCAGUGGCGAAGGCGACUUUCUGGUCUGUAACUGACGCUGAUGUGCGAAAGCGUGGGGAUCAAACAGGAUUAGAUACCCUGGUAGUCCACGCCGUAAACGAUGAGUGCUAAGUGUUAGGGGGUUUCCGCCCCUUAGUGCUGCAGCUAACGCAUUAAGCACUCCGCCUGGGGAGUACGACCGCAAGGUUGAAACUCAAAGGAAUUGACGGGGACCCGCACAAGCGGUGGAGCAUGUGGUUUAAUUCGAAGCAACGCGAAGAACCUUACCAAAUCUUGACAUCCUUUGACAACUCUAGAGAUAGAGCCUUCCCCUUCGGGGGGACAAAGUGACAGGUGGUGCAUGGUUGUCGUCAGCUCGUGUCGUGAGAUGUUGGGUUAAGUCCCGCAACGAGCGCAACCCUUAAGCUUAGU